GGUUAACGCUAGCGGCAGGCCUAACACAUGCAAGUCGAGGGGCAGCACAGAAACAGCAAUGUUUUGGUGGCGACCGGCGGACGGGUGCGUAACGCGUAUGCAACCUACCUUUAAUAGGGGGAUAACGGAGAGAAAUUUGCACUAAUACCCCAUAACAUCGAUCAAGGCAUCUUGAUUGGUUGAAAACUCCGGUGGUUAAAGAUGGGAAUGCGUUGUAUUAGGUAGUUGGUGAGGUAAUGGCUCACCAAGCCUACGAUACAUAGGGGGACUGAGAGGUUAGCCCCGCACACUGGUACUGAGACACGGACCAGACUCCUACGGGAGGCAGCAGCGAGGAAUAUUGGUCAAUGGGGGCAACCCUGAACCAGCCAUGCCGCGCGCAGGAAGACGGCUCUAUGAGUUGUAAACUGCUUUUAAACAGGGAUAAAGCACAGUAUGUAUACUGUGUUGAAGGUACUGUAAGAAUAAGGAUCGGCUAACUCCGUGCCAGCCGCCGCCGUAA
rnacentral:rRNA from 1 species